GUGAGGAAUAUUGCGCAAUGGAGGCAACUCUGACGCAGCCAUGCCGCGUGCAGGAAGAAGGCGCUACGCGUUGUAAACUGCUUUUAACCGGGAAGAAACCCCAGGACGUGUCCUGGGUUGACGGUACCGGAGGAAUAAGCACCGGCUAACUUCGUGCCAGCAGCCGCGGUAAUACGAAGGGUGCAAGCGUUAUCCGGAUUCAUUGGGUUUAAAGGGUGCGUAGGCGGAGCGUUAAGUCAGUGGUGAAAUCCUGCAGCUUAACUGUAGACUUGCCAUUGAUACUGGCGCUCUUGAGUGCGCUUGAAGUGGGCGGAAUGUGCCGUGUAGCGGUGAAAUGCUUAGAUAUGGCACAGAACACCAAUUGCGAAGGCAGCUUACUAUUUCAUGAUUGACGCUGAGGCACGAAAGCGUGGGUAGCGAACAGGAUUAGAUACCCGGGUAGUCC
rnacentral:rRNA from 1 species